UUUGUCUCGUAUUAAUAGGUUCUUGAUUUGUGGGGAGUGAGAAUCUAAAUAUUCAAAUGUCACUCAGAGAAGAUUGGGGAAGGUAUACUCGGAUCAUUUUCCUAUUAUGUUAUCAGGGAAUAGAAGGGGUGGUGGAAGAAGACCUUUCAGGUUUGAGAAGAUGUGGUUGAAAGUAGAAGGUUUUAGGGAACGAGUACAGACGUGGUGGACUUCCUAUGAAGUCAGUGGGUCUCCCUGUUUUGUAUUGGAUCAGAAGCUAAAGGCGUUGAAAGGGGACUUAAAGAAAUGGAAUUAGGAAGUUGUAGGCAAUGUUAACUGCAGUAAAAAUCAGUGUCUGUCAAAGAUAGAGGAAUUGGAUAGGCGGGAGGAGAAUCAGGGGUUGACUGGGGAGGAGAAGGAGAGACAUAGAGUAUUAAAGGAAGAGAUGGAGAGGUUGGUGGAGAUGGAGGAGAUUAAUUGGCGACAGAAAUCUAGAGUUACUUAGUUGAAAGGGGGGGAUAAAUGCACUAAAUUCUUCCACAGGGUCGCCAAUUCUAAUAGGAGGAACAACUCCAUCACAGUUUUGGAGGUGGACGGGGUUACUUAUGAGGAACCACAGGAAAUUGGAAGCCUACUGGUGAAUUUUUAUCAGAACCUCUAUCGGGAGCAAUUUGAAUGGAGGCAGAAUUGGAGGGAUUGCACUUUUCUACAAUCACUGAGGAUGAUGCCCGAUGGAUGGAGAGACCAUUUAGGGAGGAUGAAAUUAAGGAGGUUGUUUUCAGCAUGAACGAUGAUAAGGCCCCGGGACCGGACGGUUUCUCGUUCUCAUUCUACAAAGCAUGCUGGGAUGUGGUUCGACCGGACAUUGUAAAUACUUUAUCUUAUUUUUUUGAACGUGGC
rnacentral:lncRNA from 1 species